rnacentral:rRNA from 1 species
GGCAAGCGUUGUCCGGAAUUAUUGGGCGUAAAGCGCGCGCAGGCGGUUCCUUAAGUCUGAUGUGAAAGCCCACGGCUCAACCGUGGAGGGUCAUUGGAAACUGGGGGACUUGAGUGCAGGAGAGGGGAGCGGAGUUCCAUGUGUAGCGGUGAAAUGCGUAGAGAUAUGGAGGAACACCAGUGGCGAAGGCGGCUCUCUGGCCUGUAACUGACGCUGAGGCGCGAAAGCGUGGGGAGCGAACAGGAUUAGAUACCCUGGUAGUCCACGCCGUAAACGAUGAGUGCUAAGUGUUAGAGGGUUUCCACCCUUUAGUGCUGCAGCUAACGCAUUAAGCACUCCGCCUGGGGAGUACGGUCGCAAGACUGAAACUCAAAGGAAUUGACGGGGGCCCGCACAAGCGGUGGAGCAUGUGGUUUAAUUCGAAGCAACGCGAAGAACCUUACCAGGUCUUGACAUCCUCUGACAACCCUAGAGAUAGGGCGUUCCCCUUCGGGGGACAGAGU